rnacentral:rRNA from 1 species
AGUGGGGAAUCUUGGACAAUGGGCGCAAGCCUGAUCCAGCCAUGCCGCGUGAGUGAAGAAGGUCUUCGGAUUGUAAAGCUCUUUUGCCAGGGACGAUAAUGACGGUACCUGGAGAAUAAGCCCCGGCAAACUUCGUGCCAGCAGCCGCGGUAAUACGAAGGGGGCUAGCGUUGUUCGGAAUUACUGGGCGUAAAGCGCACGUAGGCGGGUCGUUAAGUCAGGGGUGAAAUCCCGGAGCUCAACUCCGGAACUGCCUUUGAUACUGGCGAUCUUGAGAUCGGAAGAGGUGAGUGGAAUUCCCAGUGUAGAGGUGAAAUUCGUAGAUAUUGGGAAGAACACCAGUGGCGAAGGCGGCUCACUGGUCCGAUACUGACGCUGAGGUGCGAAAGCGUGGGGAGCAAA